GCAGCUGGAUGAUCAAGACCCAUCAUCUCCUUCCCCAAGAAAAAUAAAAGGCAUGUUUUCUGAGCUUCAGAAGCAAACUGCUCCUUCGCUCCUUCCCCCUGUCUCUCCGAGCGCCUGUCUGAACUGGUGUCAGUGAAGUUUGAACCGGGGCAGAAAUAGCAUCCCGGGCGGAUCUGGGAGCAUAGCCCGCCUACCAGGAGCGGCAAGGCCUGCCUCUGCCAGACGACAGACCCGGUUAACAGCACCGUAAAAUUAGACCUUUACGAAACCCAAUUGAAUCCUGCAGCAAAGAGUGAUGUAAGGCAGCCUGGCCUGACAGCAAGACAGCAACUCUCUGCCUGAAAUAGCAGCGCGGUCCCUGCUGAGCGAUGACUGCUCUCUCAAGAUAGGUGACCAGGGAUUCCUAGGAAAGUGGCAACGCCCAGCCAGAGAAAGCCAGCAGAGGUCAGGCAGCAAACUGGGCACCUGAGGUCGCCGCGAGAGGGUGAGCCUUCGCACCCGAUCCUUGCUGCCCACCUCGGUCCUGGCUCUCCCAGCCCAAACUUACACGAAGGAGGGAGCUGAAAAAGUACUUCUGCAAAGAACCUCUGUUUGUUUGCUUUUUAAUUCAAGGAGAAGCAGGUUCUUUUUAGUCCAACAGCCUGUACCAUGUGGAGGAUAUGCAGAAUGAGUCUUUUCUGGCUCAGAGCCAGGUGUUUACACGCCGCCAAAUCUGGCUCCAACUCAACUAGGGGAGGGAAAAGAAAUCCACCAGAAUCCUCAGGGGAAAAGCUCCUGGCUUUCUGGUGCUACACGACAGCAGUGCUUAUUUAUUUAUUUUAUUUUUUUCGUUUUGAGAGGAAUGUUAUUUCUACACAUAAAAUGGACCAGGCAUUUUAUACAAGCAAUAAUAACCUAACGCCCCC
rnacentral:lncRNA from 1 species